rnacentral:rRNA from 1 species
GGUCAAGUGAAGAAGCGCAUACGGUGGAUGCCUUGGCAGUCAGAGGCGAUGAAAGACGUGGUAGCCUGCGAAAAGCUUCGGGGAGUCGGCAAACAGACUGUGAUCCGGAGAUGUCUGAAUGGGGGAACCCAGCCAUCAUAAGAUGGUUAUCUUGUACUGAAUACAUAGGUGCAAGAGGCGAACCAGGGGAACUGAAACAUCUAAGUACCCUGAGGAAAAGAAAUCAACCGAGAUUCCCUUAGUAGUGGCGAGCGAACGGGGACCAGCCCUUAAGUUGUAUUGAGAUUAGCGGAACGUUCUGGAAAGGACGGCCAUAGUGGGUGAUAGCCCUGUACGCGAAAAUCCCUUUGCAAUGAAAUCGAGUAGGACGGGGCACGAGAAACCUUGUCUGAAUAUGGGGGGACCAUCCUCCAAGGCUAAAUACUACUGACUGACCGAUAGUGAACCAGUACCGUGAGGGAAAGGCGAAAAGAACCGCGGAGAGCGGAGUGAAAUAGAUCCUGAAACCGUAUGCGUACAAGCAGUGGGAGCCCACUUUGUUGGGUGACUGCGUACCUUUUGUAUAAUGGGUCAGCGACUUAUUUUCAGUGGCGAGCUUAACCGAAUAGGGGAGGCGUAGCGAAAGCGAGUCUUAAUAGGGCGUCUAGUCGCUGGGAAUAGACCCGAAACCGGGCGAUCUAUCCAUGGGCAGGUUGAAGGUUGGGUAACACUAACUGGAGGACCGAACCGACUACCGUUGAAAAGUUAGCGGAUGACCUGUGGAUCGGAGUGAAAGGCUAAUCAAGCUCGGAGAUAGCUGGUUCUCCUCGAAAGCUAUUUAGGUAGCGCCUCAUGUAUCACUGUAGGGGGUAGAGCACUGUUUCGGCUAGGGGGUCAUCCCGACUUACCAAACCGAUGCAAACUCCGAAUACCUACAAGUGCCGAGCAUGGGAGACACACGGCGGGUGCUAACGUCCGUCGUGAAAAGGGAAACAACCCAGACCGUCAGCUAAGGUCCCAAAGUCAUGGUUAAGUGGGAAACGAUGUGGGAAGGCUUAGACAGCUAGGAGGUUGGCUUAGAAGCAGCCACCCUUUAAAGAAAGCGUAAUAGCUCACUAGUCGAGUCGGCCUGCGCGGAAGAUGUAACGGGGCUCAAACCAUGCACCGAAGCUACGGGUAUCAUCUUUUGAUGAUGCGGUAGAGGAGCGUUCUGUAAGCCUGUGAAGGUGAGUUGAGAAGCUUGCUGGAGGUAUCAGAAGUGCGAAUGCUGACAUGAGUAACGACAAUGGGUGUGAAAAACACCCACGCCGAAAGACCAAGGUUUCCUGCGCAACGUUAAUCGACGCAGGGUUAGUCGGUCCCUAAGGCGAGGCUGAAAAGCGUAGUCGAUGGAAAACAGGUUAAUAUUCCUGUACUUCUGGUUAUUGCGAUGGAGGGACGGAGAAGGCUAGGCCAGCCUGGCGUUGGUUGUCCAGGUUUAAGGUGGUAGGCUGAGAUCUUAGGUAAAUCCGGGAUCUUAAGGCCGAGAGCUGAUGACGAGUGUUCUUUAGAACACGAAGUGGUUGAUGCCAUGCUUCCAAGAAAAGCUUCUAAGCUUCAGGUAACCAGGAACCGUACCCCAAACCGACACAGGUGGUUGGGUAGAGAAUACCAAGGCGCUUGAGAGAACUCGGGUGAAGGAACUAGGCAAAAUGGCACCGUAACUUCGGGAGAAGGUGCGCCGGUGAGGGUGAAGCAUUUACUGCGUAAGCCCAUGCCGGUCGAAGAUACCAGGCCGCUGCGACUGUUUAUUAAAAACACAGCACUCUGCAAACACGAAAGUGGACGUAUAGGGUGUGACGCCUGCCCGGUGCCGGAAGGUUAAUUGAUGGGGUUAGCGCAAGCGAAGCUCUUGAUCGAAGCCCCGGUAAACGGCGGCCGUAACUAUAACGGUCCUAAGGUAGCGAAAUUCCUUGUCGGGUAAGUUCCGACCUGCACGAAUGGCGUAACGAUGGCGGCGCUGUCUCCACCCGAGACUCAGUGAAAUUGAAAUCGCUGUGAAGAUGCAGUGUAUCCGCGGCUAGACGGAAAGACCCCGUGAACCUUUACUAUAGCUUUGCACUGGACUUUGAAUUUGCUUGUGUAGGAUAGGUGGGAGGCUUUGAAGCGUGGACGCCAGUCUGCGUGGAGCCAACCUUGAAAUACCACCCUGGCAACUUUGAGGUUCUAACUCAGGUCCGUUAUCCGGAUCGAGGACAGUGUAUGGUGGGUAGUUUGACUGGGGCGGUCUCCUCCUAAAGAGUAACGGAGGAGUACGAAGGUGCGCUCAGACCGGUCGGAAAUCGGUCGUAGAGUAUAAAGGCAAAAGCGCGCUUGACUGCGAGACAGACACGUCGAGCAGGUACGAAAGUAGGUCUUAGUGAUCCGGUGGUUCUGUAUGGAAGGGCCAUCGCUCAACGGAUAAAAGGUACUCCGGGGAUAACAGGCUGAUACCGCCCAAGAGUUCAUAUCGACGGCGGUGUUUGGCACCUCGAUGUCGGCUCAUCACAUCCUGGGGCUGAAGCCGGUCCCAAGGGUAUGGCUGUUCGCCAUUUAAAGUGGUACGCGAGCUGGGUUUAGAACGUCGUGAGACAGUUCGGUCCCUAUCUGCCGUGGACGUUUGAGAUUUGAGAGGGGCUGCUCCUAGUACGAGAGGACCGGAGUGGACGAACCUCUGGUGUUCCGGUUGUCACGCCAGUGGCAUUGCCGGGUAGCUAUGUUCGGAAAAGAUAACCGCUGAAAGCAUCUAAGCGGGAAACUUGCCUCAAGAUGAGAUCUCACUGGAACCUUGAGUUCCCUGAAGGGCCGUCGAAGACUACGACGUUGAUAGGUUGGGUGUGUAAGCGCUGUGAGGCGUUGAGCUAACCAAUACUAAUUGCCCGUGAGGCUUGACCAU